rnacentral:lncRNA from 1 species
GCUUGUUGAGUUUCUAUAUGAAGGGGAUGAGUUUUGCAGAACAAAUAAUGGUUAAAGAUUUUAGGUAUGAAUGAGAAUUAUUGAGAAGUUUAAAAUAUUUUUAAAUGAAGAAAUUAAUAGUAAGGUAGAGUGUAUAGGAGGUGAGGCUUGCAGUGGAAUGUAUUUCCAAAAAACUAGCAAGACUAAGCGACAACAAUGAGGAUUAUGUUGGAAAACUAAAGAAAUCAAG